GACGAACGCUGGCGGCGUGCUUAACACAUGCAAGUCGAGGGGGCGCAGCAAUAGCGUCACCGGCGAACGGGUGCGUAACACGUGAGCGACCUGCCCAACUGCGGGGGAGUAGCCGGCCCAACGGCCGGGUAAUACCGCAUACGACACUGGCCGGGCAUCUGGCGAGUGUGAAACCGACUGAGGGCGGUUGGAGGGGCUCGCGGCCUAUCAGCUAGUUGGUGCGGUCACGGCGCACCAAGGCGAUGACGGGUAGCUGGUCUGAGAGGAUGGCCAGCCACAUUGGGACUGAGAGACGGCCCAGACUCCUACGGGAGGCAGCAGUGGGGAAUCUUGCGCAAUGGCCGAAAGGCUGACGCAGCGACGCCGCGUGGAGGAUGACGGCCUGGUGU
rnacentral:rRNA from 1 species